rnacentral:rRNA from 1 species
UACGAGCGGCCCAAACGUUAUUCGGAAUUACUGGGCUUAAAGAGUUCGUGGGCGGCAUUACAAGUCGGGUGUGAAAGCCCUCGGCUCAACCGAGGAAUUGCGCUCUAAACUGUCGUGCUAGAGGAAGCUAGAGGUGAGCAGAACAGAUGGUGGAGCGGUGAAAUGCGUUGAUAUCAGCUGGAAUACCGGAGGCGAAGGCGGCUCACUGGGGGUUUUCUGACGCUGAGGAACGAAAGCGUGGGGAGCGAACAGG